AGUCCCCCGGGGGCGGGCGCACCUGCCGCCGCUGGCGGGAAAUCGAAACUCAAGCUGUUGAAACCGCUGCCCCUGCCCUUUCGAAUCUCAUCUCGAGACUCCCGAGGCGCCCCAGCCCGCGUCCCCGCCGCAGCGGCGGCCGGGCACCCGCGGACUCAGAGCUAUGUUCACCCGCACUCGGGUGGUGGGCUCCGGGCUCGGCGCCCCCCCCGCCCCCCGCCCGGCCCGGGAGCCCCCCGGGCGGCCUCGGGAGCCGGGCCAGCUGCAAGGUCCCAGACCGGGUUCGCAGGCGACCCCCCAGAGCCCUUCGCAGGAGAGCCCACGGCUCGCCGGCCAGCGGUGCACAGGCGCAUAUACCUUGAUAACACCAAAUGAAAACCGAAGAAAUCAGAUACAAAGGAUUGCUGAGAAAGAGCUGGAAAAUCUUGAGAAGUGGAGAGAACAACAGCGAGCAAAGCCCGUUACCCUGGCCCCAAGGCGCUUAGGUGGAAGCCAAUCGGAAGCCGAAGUCAGGCAGAAACAACAACUCCAACUGAUGCAAUCGAAAUACCAACAAAAGCUAAAACGAGAAGAAUCUGUAAGAAUCAAGAAGCAAGUGGAAGAGGCCAGAAUACAACAGAUGAAGGCAGUUCAGAGACAGAAGAGCAAUAAACUAGAGGAGAAAAAAAGACUUCAAGAAAACCUCAGAAGAGAAGCAUUUAGAGAGCACCAGCAGUACAAAACUGCGGAGUUCCUGAGCAGACUGGACACAGAGUCGCCAGAUAGAAGUACCUGUCAAAAGGCUCUUCAUGACUCACAGUCUUCAACUUGGAAACUUCCUGUCCUGCCUGGGAAUCCUACCUCGGCCAGAAGCUGGGCUUACAAGGAUUCUCUAAAGGAAGAAGAAAAUAAGAAAUUGCAAAAGAUGAAGGAGGAACAACGUCAGAAGAGUGAAUUACUGGAAUUUAACCGGCAGCAACAGGAGGAAGAGAGAACCAGAACCCACCAGGCUGAACACAAGAGGUCUUGCUGAAGCUUCCGCCUUCCUUCAGCCUCCGGAGCUCACACCUGGCAUGGCCCGCGAGGAGACAGUUGCUCGGGAACAAAGCUCUUGUUGAACUGGUAGAAGAUGAGGGAAUGAAGCUCUGAAGUUCAGAACUGUUCCCCCUCUGCCCACAUCUGGCACCAGCUCCAGCCGAUGGCUAUUAACAGCCUGUCAUAUUGUCAUACGGUUAAUGGUAAAUAAUGCUUUCCUGGACCGACUCCAAGGCAAAAGUCAACCAGGUGGCUUCGAGCACUUUGGAGGCCAUUGGAAUAUGAAUAGUGGUAACAGCUGGGAUGUAUGAGAAAUAUUUACUUACAUCUGUCCUUUGUCAACGGACCUUGAAGAACAUCACUCAAUGCUUUUCCUUCAUGCUGCUUUGUUUAUCCUUACUGUUUUCACCUUGACUUCGACUGCCCACUCACUCAGCUGAACACGUGGGAAUGACCCGUUUUCCCCUGUCAUUAUUUACACAUGCUUGCAGGAGCUGAUUGCUGAGCUCAUAGUUAAUUUCUACUUCCAGUGAAAUGUUGCACUGUUUUUCUCAUUAGUUUCACAUCUUAUUGGAAGUAUAAUUACAGCCAUGUUAGUAAGAUGAAAAAGGAGGGAUCAUUUGCUGCUUUCAGGUGUAUAAGAGCUAUACGGGUGCUACAGGCUUAUCUCUCUGAGUAGCUAACUCUUAUGUAAUUCUCAGAUCAGGUUUGGGGAAUCUUGGGCAUUUUUUUUGGAUUUUAAGCUCUACUUAAUCCAGGGUACAAACUUGAGAAAAAGAUAAAAAAUAAAAUCUUUUAUAUUCUUUUGAACACACUUUUAAAUAAAUUUUGAAAUACUUCUGUGUAAA